UACGUAGGGGGCAAGCGUUGUCCGGAUUUAUUGGGCGUAAAGAGCGUGUAGGCGGCCAGGUAGGUCUGCUGUGAAAACUCGAGGCUCAACCUCGAGACGUCGGCGGAAACCAUCUGGCUAGAGUCCGGAAGAGGAGAAUGGAAUUCCCGGUGUAGCGGUGAAAUGCGCAGAUAUCGGGAAGAACACCCGUGGCGAAGGCGGUUCUCUGGGACGGUACUGACGCUGAGACGCGAAAGCGUGGGGAGCAAACAGG
rnacentral:rRNA from 1 species